rnacentral:misc_RNA from 1 species
AAAGUCGUAACAAGGUUUCCGUAGGUGAACCUGCGGAAGGAUCAUUACUAAAACAAAAAAUCCAAACACACAACCUGUGAACCAAAAUUUGAGUUUGUUUAGGCAACUUGAAUUAUUUUCAUGCUUUAUUUUUUUUUUAUAUUGUCUUUUUGUUUUAUUACUAUUUAUAAAAACAUAAACACAACUUUCAGCAACGGAUCUCUAGGCUCUU